rnacentral:piRNA from 1 species
AGCUAAGGAUGAUCUAAGUUAU